AUCGAUAAGCCGAAAAGCAAAAUGGCAGACGUAGAAAAGGAAACCGAGAAGAAAAUCUUGUAAAUAAUCCGUAAAAAAAUUGCAUAUUUGUCGCAAACAUUAUGCCAAUUGCGCGAAACGCGAGUGCAUAAUAAACGCAACGUGCAAUUUGUUUGCUACGUCCAUUUUAACCACUAGCAAGUGCUCGCGUGUGUGUCUGCGGCGGCAAAAGCAAAGCCCAGAGAGUAAUAUAUCUCAAUCAAAAUUCGCUCGAACGCGACAACCAAAACAGGCAAACAAAGCAACAAAUGUGGCGACAAUGCCAACUAGCGGGCACGGGCAUCAUUUGAAAUAUAUUCAAAAAAUGUGCAAUUUCCAAAAACAAAUAAUAUUACUACAAUAAAAAACGCGCAGUGAGCAGAAAACUUUAAACAAACACACACACAAGGUGCGUUGCAAUAACAAAAAUACGCAAGUGAAGGCGCGACGACGAAGAA